AAGAUGUUUUCUUCAGAAUGAAUUUUUAUACAUAAAAAGUACAGAUUUUAAAAAAGUUUAAAAAGUUGGCCGUAUAAUAUAUGUAGAAAAACACGGCGAGUGGGCCAGUCGCAGGUCACAUAAACGUUCGACACAGGUAAAGCUCUACGCAUGCGCAUUGUUUAUUAGUUAUGCAUUUAACUCAUAUUUCAAUUUCAUGGACUAAACUACUAAAAUGCAUGUCUGAGUCUCAGUUUUCGCUUUGGACGUUUCUGUUAAAUGACUUAAAGCAUGUCCCAAGUCAUGUACAAAAUCGUUCCCGUCGUCACGUUGCACAAUCCAUGAUGAAGUCUGGAAAUUGGACUUCGCUCAGUUUGCUGUAUUUUUGUGCCCUUCCGAGCCUCCAAGUAACGGUAAGUCGAUGUGAAAAGGAAAACAUGAAGAAAUUCUUCACAUGACAAAGGGUAUGUAAAAUUAGGUCAACUGACAAGGUAUUGAGCAUAAAUACCUUGAUCCUUUGGUGGUGAAUUCAUUGGCAUUUUAGUAUCAUCAUUGCUUGCAGUCUGUAUGAAAUAACAAAAUUUUUUAUGACUUAUUCAGUGAUGAACAGUAAAUAACCAUAAUUCCAUGAAAGAGUGUUGAAUUAGUUGCACACCUGUUUUGGAGUUUUUGGUGCUUUUUGCCUCUUUUUAUAAAAACAAUUAUAACUAUGACUAUUAUAACAACGAUUAUAGGAACAACAAUUCCAGCAAUAGCUCCACCCUCCAGACCACCACCACUAGAUCUCUCUUUGUUUAUUGGAUUAUCUGUACAAAUCAAAUUUAGUCAUUAGCCUAAUAGCUUAAUAUUUAACAUUUUCCAUUGAAUAUAACUGUAGAAUUUAUGAAGUUUUCAUGUGAAAUCUACAUUCAGUGAAAAAAAUUAGCUUCCAGUGAAAUCAUUGUUAUGUUUACAAGCCAACAAAAUAAGAAGGCAGACAUCAAAACUGCCCAAUAAAACUUAGAAUGGUGCAACUUUUGGCUUGAAGUUGCCCAUAUUUUAAUUUGCUACACAUGUUAUAAACUGCUUUUGUGCAAGCAUUAAAAAGAUUUUUCAUUCUCCUUAAAAUGAAA